rnacentral:rRNA from 1 species
AUUGAACGCUGGCGGCAGGCCUAACACAUGCAAGUCGAGCGAGCGGCGGACGGGUGAGAAAUGUAUGGGGACUGCCCGAUAGAGGGGGAUAACUCCUGGAAACGGUAGCUAAUACCCCAUACUAUCGGAUAACCCAUAUGGGAUUAGCUCGUUGGUGGGGUAAUGGCUCACCAAGGCGACGAUCCCUAGCUGGUCUGAGAGGAUGAUCAGCCACACUGGGACUGAGACACGGCCCAGACUCCUACGGAGGCAGCAGUGGGGAAUAGUGCACAAUGGGCGCAAGCCUGAUGCAGCCAUGCCGCGUGUAUGAAGAAGGCCUUCGGGUUGUAAAGUACUUUCAGUCGGGAGGCGUUACCGGCAGAAGAAGCACCGGCUAACUCCGUGCCAGCAGCCGCGGUAAUUC